rnacentral:rRNA from 1 species
AGAGUUUGAUCCUGGCUCAGGAUGAACGCUAGCGGCAGGCUUAACACAUGCAAGUCGAACGGUAACAGGGAAAAGCUUGCUUUUCUGCUGACGAGUGGCGAACGGGUGCGUAACACGUAUGCAACUUACCUUUAACAGGGGGAUAGCCCAGAGAAAUCUGGAUUAAUACCCCAUAACAUUAUCAUUUCGCAUGUUAUGAUAAUUAAAACUUCGGUGGUUAGAGAUAGGCAUGCGUCCCAUUAGUUAGUUGGUAAGGUAACGGCUUACCAAGACAGCGAUGGGUAGGGGGUCUGAGAGGAUGAUCCCCCACACUGGUACUGAGACACGGACCAGACUCCUACGGGAGGCAGCAGUGAGGAAUAUUGGGCAAUGGACGAAAGUCUGACCCAGCCAUGCCGCGUGCAGGAAGAAUGCCCUAUGGGUUGUAAACUGCUUUUAUAUACCAAGAAACGCAGGUACGUGUACCUGUCUGACGGUAGUAUAUGAAUAAGCACCGGCUAACUCCGUGCCAGCAGCCGCGGUAAUACGGAGGGUGCAAGCGUUAUCCGGAUUUAUUGGGUUUAAAGGGUUCGUAGGCGGGACUUUAAGUCAGUGGUGAAAGCCUAUAGCUCAACUAUAGAAUUGCCAUUGAUACUGAAGUUCUUGAGUACACUUGAAGUUAGCGGAAUGUAUCAUGUAGCGGUGAAAUGCAUAGAUAUGAUACAGAACACCGAUUGCGAAGGCAGCUAACUAAAUUGUCACUGACGCUGAGGAACGAAAGCGUGGGGAGCGAACAGGAUUAGAUACCCUGGUAGUCCACGCUGUAAACGAUGAUCACUCGAUAUUGGCGAUAUACUGUCAGUGUCCAAGCGAAAGUGUUAAGUAAUCCACCUGGGGAGUACGAUCGCAAGAUUGAAACUCAAAGGAAUUGACGGGGGCCCGCACAAGCGGUGGAGCAUGUGGUUUAAUUCGAUGAUACGCGAGGAACCUUACCAGGGCUUAAAUGCAGAACGACAGGCUGGGAAACCAGCUCUUCUUCGGACGGACUGCAAGGUGCUGCAUGGUUGUCGUCAGCUCGUGCCGUGAGGUGUCGGGUUAAGUCCCAUAACGAGCGCAACCCCUAUUCUUAGUUGCCAGCGAGUAAUGUCGGGGACUCUAAGAAAACUGCCUGCGUAAGCAGUGAGGAAGGUGGGGAUGACGUCAAAUCAUCACGGCCCUUACGUCCUGGGCCACACACGUGCUACAAUGGUAUAGACAAAGGGCAGCUACCUGGUGACAGGAUGCUAAUCUCUAAACUAUAUCUCAGUUCGGAUUGAAGUCUGCAACUCGACUUCAUGAAGCUGGAAUCGCUAGUAAUCGCGCAUCAGCCAUGGCGCGGUGAAUACGUUCCCGGGCCUUGUACACACCGCCCGUCAAGCCAUGGAAGCUGGGGGUGCCUGAAGUCGGUAACCAUAUAGGAGCUGCCUAGGGUAAAACUAGUGACUGGGGCUAAGUCGUAACAAGGUAGCC